rnacentral:pre_miRNA from 1 species
CAAGUACUCCCUCCGUCCGGAAUUACUUGUCAUCAAAAUGGAUGUGUCUAGAACUAAAAUACAUCUAGAUAUAUCCAUUUCAAUGACAAGUACUUCCGGACGGAGGGAGUACAAG